rnacentral:rRNA from 12 species
UCAAGCAACUAAGCGCAUACGGUGGAUGCCUUGGCAGUCAGAGGCGAUGAAAGACGUGGAAGCCUGCGAUAAGGCUCGGGGAGCUGGCAAACAAGCUGUGAUCCGGGCAUCUCUGAAUGGGGAAACCCACCGGUCUUCGGGCCGGUACCGUACGGUGAAUACAUAGCCGUACGGGGCGAACUCGGGGAACUGAAACAUCUAAGUACCCGAAGGAAAAGAAAUCAACCGAGAUUCCCUCAGUAGCGGCGAGCGAACGGGGACCAGCCCUUAAGCUGGACAACUGGUAGGAGAAGGCCCUGGAAAGAGCCGCCAUAGUGGGUGAUAGCCCCGUAUCCGAAACCUGAGUCCAGUGAAAUCGAGUAGGACGGGACACGAGACAUCCUGUCUGAACAUGGGGGGACCAUCCUCCAAGGCUAAAUACUCCUGACUGACCGAUAGUGAACCAGUACCGUGAGGGAAAGGUGAAAAGAACCCUAAGUAAGGGAGUGAAAGAGAUCCUGAAACCGUACGCCUACAAGCGGUCGGAGCACAUUUAUGUGUGACGGCGUGCCUUUUGCAUAAUGAGCCUACGAGUUACUGUUUCUAGCAAGGUUAAUUGAUUAAGUCAAGGAGCCGUAGCGAAAGCGAGUCUGAAUAGGGCGCUUUAGUU